rnacentral:rRNA from 1 species
AGAGUUUGAUCAUGGCUCAGGAUGAACGCUGGCGGCGUGCCUAAUACAUGCAAGUCGAGCGGAAACACUUCGGGUGUCGAGCGGCGGACGGGUGAGUAACGCGUGGGAACAUACCCCAGACUGAGGGAUAAGCACCAGAAAUGGUGUCUAAUACCGCAUAACCUCUACGGAGAAAAGCUUCGGCGGUUUGGGAAUGGCCUGCGUAGGAUUAGCUAGUUGGUGAGGUAAAGGCUUACCAAGGCGAUGAUCUUUAGCUGGUUUGAGAGGAUGAUCAGCCACACUGGAACUGAGACACGGUCCAGACUUCUACGGAAGGCAGCAGUAGGGAAUCUUCCACAAUGGACGAAAGUCUGAUGGAGCAACGCCGCGUGCAGGAUGAAUGCCUUCGGGUUGUAAACUGCUUUUAUAAGUGAGGAUUUUGACAGUAACUUAUGAAUAAGGAUCGGCUAACUCCGUGCCAGCAGCCGCGGUCAUACGGAGGAUCCAAGCGUUAUUCGGAAUGACUGGGCGUAAAGAGUUGCGUAGGCGGUUUGUUAAGCAUGUGAUGAAAUUUUGAGGCUCAACCUUAAAACUGUUACCUGAACUGGCAAACUAGAGUAUAUGAGGGGUACCUGGAAUUUCUAGUGUAGGAGUGGAAUCCGUAGAUAUUAGAAGGAACACCAAUGGCGUAGGCAGGGUACUGGCAUAUUACUGACGCUAAGGCACGAAAGCGUGGGGAGCGAACGGGAUUAGAUACCCCGGUAGUCCACGCCGUAAACGAUGGAUGCUAGCUGUAUGGGGUAUCGACCCCCUGUGUAGCGAAGCUAACGCGUUAAGCAUCCCGCCUGGGGAGUACGGUCGCAAGACUAAAACUCAAAGGAAUUGACGGGGACCCGCACAAGCGGUGGAGCGUGUUGUUUAAUUGGACGAUAGGCCAAGAACCUUACCAGGGUUUGACAUCCUUCGAAUUUCUACGAAAGUAGAUUGUGCCUUUAUGGAACGAAGUGACAGGUGUUGCAUGGCCGUCGUCAGCUCGUGUCGUGAGACGUUGGGUUAAGUCCCGCAACGAGCGCAACCCUUAUAGUUAGUUGGAUUUUUCUAGCUAGACUGCCUCGGUAACGGGGAGGAAGGAGGGGAUGAUGUCAGGUCCGUAUUGCCCUUACACCCUGGGCCACAAACACGCUACAAUGGCCAGUACAAUGGGCUGCCAAAUCGCAAGAUGGAGCAAAUCCCACCAAAGCUGGUCCCAGUUCGGAUAGCAGGCUGAAACUCGCCUGCUUGAAGUCGGAAUCGCUAGUAACCGUAGGUCAGAACACUACGGUGAAUACGUUCCCGGGUCUUGUACACACCGCCCGUCAUACCACGAAAGUCGCCAACGCCCGAAGUCCGUUUAUACGGCCUAAGGCGGGGGAGGUGAUUGGGGUAAAGUCGUAACAAGGUA